rnacentral:rRNA from 1 species
CCUACGGGUGGCAGCAGUGAGGAAUAUUGGUCAAUGGGCGCAAGCCUGAACCAGCCAAGUCGCGUGAGGGAUGAAGGUCCUAUGGAUCGUAAACCUCUUUUAUAAGGGAGUAAAGUGUGGGACGUGUCCUGUUUUGUCUGUACCUUAUGAAUAAGGAUCGGCUAACUCCGUGCCAGCAGCCGCGGUAAUACGGAGGAUCCGAGCGUUAUCCGGAUUUAUUGGGGUUAAAGGGUGCGUAGGCGGCCUUGUAAGUCAGCGGGGAAAGUUUGUGGCUCAACCAUAGAAUUGCCGUUGAACCUGGGAGUUUUGAGUAGGUUUGAGGCAGGCGGAAUGCGUGGUGUAGCGGUGAAAUGCUUAGAUAUCACGCAGAACCCCGAUUGCGAAGGCAGCCUACC